AACACUGCAACCAUUGGUCUGCAGGAGUGUGACUCUUCUCUCUGUAUGUUCUCAGUGACAGUGUUGCAGAUACCCGCUCUGCAGGAGAACGCCCGGCUGCUGGGAGAUGAGCAGCAGAAUGGGCUGUCAGAGAUACAUUGAAUGAGCCUUCACACAAAACACAGUGAUAAUCACACAAGUCAUUGAGAACAAGCUGUGGAAACGGAGUGUAAUAUAUGAGCUGCCUCGAUGCUCACAUCUGCAGAGCUUAAUAAGAACCUGUCAGCUAAUUCCCUCCCUACCUCCAUUCAGGAGAUCAGACACGGAGCUAAAGACAUCUGUUGCUUUCCUCUUCACGUCAUCAAAGACCAGCAAGACAGGGGCCUCAAAGCAUCUCCAACUAGUCUGGAACUGAUGUUGUUUUAAACUCUACAGACACAUGGCUAUCAAACUGCACUUACUUGUCUUGUUCCUUUGUGGAAGGACGGGUGCAGAAAGACACAUUAUUUAUAAUUCUGCCCCAGCACCCUUGGAUUUUGGAUAUGUUCCCACUGGAAGUUAUGAAACCAAUGCCUACCAUGAACCAGGGCCUAUCGGGUUAUUAUUUCAUUUGGUGCGGGGAUAUCUGUAUCUAGUUCAGCCCAAUCCAUUUCCUCAAGAACUCGUGAAGAAGAUUGCACAACAGAAGUUUGGCGAAACACGAAAUGAUUAUCAAAAGCCAGAGAACGUUGUUCUCACUCUCCAGACGAUACACUAUGAGAUGGGUUUCAUUAUUGCGGCUGCAGUUGGCCUGCUCUUUUCUCUGUUAAUGCCUCUGGUGGGUCUGUGCCUCUGCAUGUGUCGUUGCUGUGAAAACUGUGGCGGGGAAAUGCAUCAGAGACAUAAGAAAAAUGCCGACUGUCAGCGGGGCUGCUUCGCAACAUUCCUAUUUGUUUCUUCGGUGAUAAUAAGUGUAGGAGUACUUUGUGCUUACGCAGCAAAUCAAAAUCUUACAACUCAAAUUCGAGGAUCAAAGCAUCUUGUUCAGAGUAACUUUAAAGACUUGAGAACAUUAUUAAGUGAUGCUCCUACGCAAAUAGACUAUAUCCUGAGCAAGUUCAACAUUACCAAAGACAAAGCACUUUCUGAUCUUAACAAUAUCUCACCGUUGCUUGGUGAACGAGUACACGACCAGCUAGGAAAAGAUGUCCGUCCAGCUUUUGACGCAGUUCUUAACAUGGCAGGAGCUAUUAAAGAAACAAAAGAAGCUUUGGAGAACGUAAGCGUUGCCGUUGAAGUGUUGCAAGAGGCGACGGACCGCUUGAACACAAACUUAACAGAAGAAAAGCUGCAGCUCAACAGCACCCUAAGUGAUUCGGCAUGUUCCACAAAUGUAGCAAUGAUACCCUGCAAUAAUAUUAAGAAUUCAUUAGGUCAGCUACGGAUCAAUGCAAACUUCAACUCGUUGCCAGACAUUAAUCAGUAUCUGGAGAAGUUACAAAGAGUUCUCAGAACGGACCUCAGCAACCUGGUUCAGAAGGGAUAUGCGGCAUUUAAUAACACUCCAGAAAUGGUGCAGAACCAAACCCGAAAUGUUGAAGAAGAUGUAAAAAAUAUUUUGGAUUCCAUUGGGUCAAAUAUCUCCAAUUAUUCAAAAAUGAUACCUGUCCUUCAUAUUAUUUCCAAUUUAACAUCCUACCUUUCUCGGGGUGAAAUGUACGUACGGGAAUAUUACCCUGUGGUCGAACAGUAUGAUUUUUACAGGUGGUUGGCAUCUCUCGUCCUCUGCUGUAUGGUUGCCCUUAUAGUUGUCUUCUUCUACUUGGGUUUGCUGUGUGGUUCCUGUGGCUAUGACCAACAUGCUUCUCCAACCACCAGAGGCUGCAUCUCAAACACAGGAGGCACUUUCCUUAUGGCUGGCGUUGGAUUCAGCUUCAUCUUCUCAUGGAUACUCAUGCUAACAGUGGUCGUUACUUUCAUUACCGGUGGGAAUAUAGAAAAGCUAGUUUGUGAGUCCUUCCAAGACAAAUCUUUGUUUAAGGUUUUGGAUUCCCCUUAUCAAUUAAAUGCACAGUGGAAACAUUACCUUUCAGGCAUGCUGUAUCAAAAUCCCAACAUGAACCUUACUUUUGAAAAUGUAUAUAGUGAAUGCAAGGAGAACAAAGGAAUCUUCACUGCUCUCCAGAUGGACCAUAUUUUCAAUUUAAAUGAUUUUCUGAACAUAAGCUUGUAUGUUGAUGAUGUUACUGAUAAAAUUGAUUUGGUCAACCUAGACCUUCGUAAUAUAGUUUUGUUGGAUGAAAAAGGAAAACAAAAUUUAUUGGACUUCAGUGCAACUGGCAUUAGUGAAAUAGAUUUUGAUGAUUUCUUAUCAGAGGUUGGGAAGACUAGUACAAAAGUAGAUCUACUGGCAUUUGCUAAUGAACUGGAAGAAAACGCAGACAUGUUGCCAAAAGGAGCAUUAGGAAAUGCUUUAAAAGGACACGCCAAUAGCAUACGGAUGAUACAUAUUCAGCAAGUUGUUCCUCUGGAGCAGUCUAUGAAAUAUGUUAAAGCUAGGAUCACAUUAAAGCAGAGCAUUAAAUUGCUACAAUCAAUAUCGUUGGAUAUUGAGGAAAAGGUACACGAUGUGAUCACGUCUAUAGAUACUGCUCAGACUUUAAUCAACAAUAAUGCUUCAUGUGUUAUAAAACAGGAGUUUAAGAAGUUCCUGAAUACAGUCAUUGAUUACUUUGUUCAAUACGUUACUUGGGUGAAGGAUUCUGUAGCCUUGGAUGUAGCCGGAUGCAAGCCCAUUGCGAAUGUUGUUGACACGGCAGUAGAUGUAUUUCUGUGCAGCUACUUAGUAGAUUCUGUGAAUUCAUUUUGGUUUGGCUUGGGAGGAGCUACUAUAUUCCUAAUUCCUGCUAUCAUUUUCGCUGUUAAAUUAUCAAAGUUCUAUCGCAGAAUGGACACAGAAGACGUUUAUGAUGAUGUUGAAACUAUCCCAAUGAAAAAUAUGGAAAAUGGUAAUAAUGGUUAUCAUAAUGAGAUUUUGUAUGGUAUUCACAAUCCUGUUAUAACAAGCAUUUCUUCAUAUGACACAUUGAAUAGAUUUCCCCGUGCAUCUGCCCCACCACAUCAAGAUGAUUGAGGUGCGCCACCAAUGGUUUGAGAGUGCGAAGUGCUAUUGAGCAGUGGUAACAGACACAGGAGAUAGUGGUGCAGGAUUUAAGCUGUGAAAUUGUGUCCUUCCUGUCUCCAUUUCCUGCUCCCACCUUGUACAGUUGGCACAUUGAUGCCUGGCAUCUAAAAUUCCUCAAUGGAAUCUCGAGGAUUCACUUAUUCCAUCCACACGGAAUCAUUUCACUACAAUGGACACAAGGACUAUAGGCGUAAUGACACAAACCUCCGACAAAAUACGUUUAAUCCCUUCACUGUCAAGAGUAAUGCUAUGCAUAGCAGAACAAUGGGGUUAAUUACAAGUGUUUACAUUAGUCAUAGUUUUUGUAACAAUAACUUUUUUUAUUAUAUCCACUAUUUAUUUUGAUAUACAUAUUCCGUACAUGGUAUGAUUGCUUAAAAUCACAACACCUACCCAUCUCAAUUCACGGUCAGUAUUAGAUAAAACUGUCUAGUACAAUUUGGUCUCCUGUUCUAUUUAAUUUAUAACGUUCAAAUCAAAGCAUGAACGCCGUCUCCUGUGAAAAUCAUUUUGUGUGAUUGCUUGUUUGGGAAAGAAAGAUAAACCUAGGUAUCCAAAAUACAUAU